rnacentral:rRNA from 1 species
UACGUAGGGCGCAAGCGUUGUCCGGAAUUAUUGGGCGUAAAGAGCUCGUAGGCGGCUUGUCACGUCGGGUGUGAAAAGCCCCGGGGCUUAACCCCGGGUCUGCAUUCGAUACGGGGCUAGCUAGAGUGUGGUAGGGGGAGAUGGAAUUCCUGGUGUAGCGGUGAAAAUGCGCAGAUAUCAGGAGGAACACCGGUGGCGAAGGCGCCUUGCUGGCCAAUUUUCUGACGCUGAGACGCGAAAGCGUGGGGAGCAAACGGG